rnacentral:rRNA from 1 species
GACGAACGCUGGCGGCGUGCUUAACACAUGCAAGUCGAACGGAAAGGCCCUGCUUUUGUGGGGUGCUCGAGUGGCGAACGGGUGAGUAACACGUGAGUAACCUGCCCUUGACUUUGGGAUAACUUCAGGAAACUGGGGCUAAUACCGGAUAGGAGCUCCUGCUGCAUGGUGGGGGGUGGAAAGUUUCGGCGGUUGGGGAUGGACUCGCGGCUUAUCAGCUUGUUGGUGGGGUAGUGGCUUACCAAGGCAUUGACGGGUAGCCGGCAUGAGAGGGUGACCGGCCACAUUGGGACUGAGAUACGGCCCAGACUCCUACGGGAGGCAGCAGUGGGGAAUAUUGCACAAUGGGCGGAAGCCUGAUGCAGCAACGCCGCGUGCGGGAUGGCGGCCUUCGGGUUGUAAACCGCUUCCGCCUGUGACGAAGCGUGAGUGACGGUAAUGGGUAAAGAAGCACCGGCUAACUACGUG